GACGAACGCUGGCGGCGUGCUUAACACAUGCAAGUCGAGCGGAAAGGCCCUUCGGGGUACUCGAGCGGCGAACGGGUGAGUAACACGUGAGUAACCUGCCCCAGACUUUGGGAUAACCCUCGGAAACGGGGGCUAAUACCGGAUACGACACAGCUUCGCAUGGGGUCUGUGUGGAAAGUUUUUCGGUUUGGGAUGGGCUCGCGGCCUAUCAGCUUGUUGGUGGGGUGAUGGCCUACCAAGGCGACGACGGGUAGCCGGCCUGAGAGGGCGACCGGCCACACUGGGACUGAGCCACGGCCCAGACUCCUACGGGAGGCAGCAGUGGGGAAUAUUGCACAAUGGGCGGAAGCCUGAUGCAGCGACGCCGCGUGAGGGAUGACGGCCUUCGGGUUGUAAACCUCUUUCAGCAGGGACGAAGCGUAAGUGACGGUACCUGCAGAAGAAGCGCCGGCCAACUACGUG
rnacentral:rRNA from 1 species